GACGAACGCUGGCGGCGUGCCUAAUACAUGCAAGUAGAACGCUGAAGGAGGAGCUUGCUCUUCUGGAUGAGUUGCGAACGGGUGAGUAACGCGUAGGUAACCUGCCUGGUAGCGGGGGAUAACUAUUGGAAACGAUAGCUAAUACCGCAUAACAGUAGAUGUUGCAUGACAUUUGCUUAAAAGGUGCAAUUGCACCACUACCAGAUGGACCUGCGUUGUAUUAGCUAGUUGGUGGGGUAACGGCUCACCAAGGCGACGAUACAUAGCCGACCUGAGAGGGUGAUCGGCCACACUGGGACUGAGACACGGCCCAGACUCCUACGGGAGGCAGCAGUAGGGAAUCUUCGGCAAUAGACGGAAGUCUGACCGAGCAACGCCGCGUGAGUGAAGAAGGUUUUCGGAUCGUAAAGCUCUGCUGUAAGAGAAGAACGAGUGUGAGAGUGGAAAGUUCACACUGUGACGGUAUCUUACCAGAAAGGGACGGCUAACUACGUG
rnacentral:rRNA from 1 species